GCUGGGCGUGGUGGCUCACGCCUGUAAUCCCGGCACUUUGGGAGGCUGAGGCGGGUGGAUCACCUGAGGUCAGGAGUUCAAGACCAGCCUGACCAACAUGGUGAAACCCCGUCUCUA
rnacentral:SRP_RNA from 2 species